UAUGACAUGUGACAGGAGCCACUGUAAUCCAUGGUUCGAUUUUCCAUGGUUUCUUUAAACAGCCAGUAGAAACUUCUGCUAUCUAUAUGAAAAACUUCUCAUUCAUCAUCACCAACAAACGACCAAGUCAUGUCGAACCUUGAAAACAUGAGACCGCUUUUUAAGUUUUGCCAUGCAAGUGCAACCACCUUUACAACCACCCCAGGAGGAUCGGGUGGUUCAAAGGUAGGAUUCAUUCUGGUAGGUUAGGUAAUACCUGGCAAAAGUCAACAUUAACCGGCACAACUACGUAGUAACGUUAGCUUGCUAAUGAUUGCAACAGCUACCGUGGGGUGCGCGAGUAUGGGCGGCGUCGAUUAUGCUGAGUGUCAUUAUUGUAACAUUUAUAACGUUUGCACAUGUCAGAUUUCAAUCGUUCAGGAGACGAAAUAAUGCUGGAGUCCAAAGGCGACAAACCGGGAGAAGCAGGUUGAUAACUAUGAGGGUUUGCCUGAUUGCUGACCCUACCAUCCGGUAGCUGAACAGGAUAGGUACAUUUUACCUAUAUCCAUGUAGUACAUGAGGACACAGUGCUUGCUUUGUAAGUAAGCUAGGUGUGAAUCUAUGUUGUGAUUCAACAUAAGACUUAUUGCAGGUUAUUUUACUGAUUUAAAGAUCAUGGACUAUUUCCCUGUUUUAUAUUAGGAUACUUUUUAUUAGAUUUAAAUAAUGUUUCCAUAUCUCAGUAUCUUUAGAGUAUCCUGUGAGGCAGAUCAAAGUGCCCUAUGGUCAGGAGAGCAGCUUCUUGAAGGUUUUGGGGGAAACAUUCCCCCAGAUGAAUCCAAAUGUAGAGGCCUUUAAGACAGACAGGAGGAGGCUCGUUCCCCUACAAAAAAAGGAUUGUUGUCAAGACAAUGGAGGACAGAGAUGGUGUGGUUGAAUUGGUAGCUCAACAAUUUGUCCAAGGGAGCAUGCAGGUGGCCUUGGAGCAGUAAGUCAACUCUGUCAUAAAUCUGUGAAGUACUUGUCAUUACCUCCUCUAACGUAAGUAUUUUUAAUCAGUCCACCCCCCUAAAUUGAACAUCAAUAUAUUGUCCUUAACACUUAUUUUAAAUAUACAUACUGUCUCUAAACCCAUAACAGGUUCAAAUAUCAUCUCAACUCUUUUGGGCUGCUCGAAGCAUUGGGGACCCACCCAGGCAGCUUCCGAGCACUGUUUGAAGGACUCCAUAAAGCCUCCCACUGCCAGGGACCUGUUUAAAGUAACCUAUUCCAUACCUGGCGGCAACCGGCGGUGUUUGAAGUACGACACCAUCUGCCGUUGGUUCAACUGGCUGGCUGAGGUGCAAGAUGGAGAAUGUCCUCCUCUAACAGUGGUGAUGGUGUUGGGAGUUUGCUACUGGGGCAACGGUGGGUUUGAGGACACCCCCAACCAUCGAAUUCCUCCACACAGCGCGAGGGCUUCUCGCUGGGCAGCAGAAGAAAAAGUACCCAGAGGCAAACACGUGUGCUGUGACACUAAGGCUCCCUCUUCAUAGCACCUACAAUGCCUUUAGGGAAUUCAUGACCUCCGGUAUUGUGAAUUCACCACAUUUCGGUGUCGCAUAAAAACAUUUUUAUGAUACAUAAUUGUAUCUAGUAGCACUAAAUUACAGUAGCAAUUGAGUGUUUGAAAAUGUAACUACACAACAUUUUAAGCAUUUAUCUACUUACAUCUAUUGUUUGUACAGUGCAUUGGGAACGUAUUCAGACCCCUUGACUUUUUCCACAUUUUAUUACAUUACAGCCUUAUUAAAAAAUUGAUACAAUUUUUUACCCUCAUCAAUCUACACACAAUACCCCAUAAAGACAAAGCAAAAACAAGUUGACAUUUUUGCAAAUGUAUAAAAUAAAAAAAAAGGGAAUAUUACAUUUGACCCUUUACUCAGUACUUUGCUGAAGCACCUUUGGCAGCGAUUACACCAUAGUCUUCUUGGUAUGACGCUACAUUUUUAUUUAUUUAAUACAUUUUAGAAUAAGGCUCUAAUGUAGCAAAAUGUGGAAAAAGUCAAGGGGUCUGAAUACUUUCCAAAUGCACUGUAUUUACAUAUUGGCUGUUAUUGUUCACUUAAUGAUCAUUCAAAUUAAAUGAUACAAUCCA